UACGUAGGGACCGAGCGUUGUCCGGAAUCAUUGGGCGUAAAGAGCGUGUAGGCGGCUAUUUAAGUCCUGCGUGAAAUCCUGCGGCUCAACCGCAGACGGUCGUGGGAAACUGGAUGGCUAGAGUGCGGGAGAGGAGAGUGGAAUUCCCGGUGUAGCGGUGAAAUGCGCAGAUAUCGGGAAGAACACCCGUGGCGAAGGCGGCUCUCUGGGACGGUACUGACGCUGAGACGCGAAAGCGUGGGUAGCAAACAGG
rnacentral:rRNA from 1 species